rnacentral:rRNA from 1 species
GCUUGUCUCAAAGAUUAAGCCAUGCAUGUCUAAGUACAAGCCUCAGUAAGGUGAAACCGCGAAUGGCUCAUUAAAUCACACCUAAUCUACUGGAAAGUUACUAGUUACUUGGAUAACUGAGGUAAUUCUUGAGCUAAUACAUGCGAAAAAUCUCGACUCACGGAGAGAUGCUUUUAUUAGACCAAGACCAAGGGUGCCUCGUGUACCUACUGGUGGUGACUCUGAAUAACUUUCUAGCUGAUCGCAUAGCCUUGCGCUGGCGACAUAUCCUUCGAGUAACUGCCUUAUCAACUUUCGAUGGUAGGUUAUU